UGAGGGUCUGCAGACUCCAAACUGUAAAUUAAAGACACUGAGGUUGCUGUCUAGUGAGAUCAGUGAGAGUGAGAAGAAGAACCUGAUGUCACUACAGGAGGAGCUGAACAGAACUUGACAGCAGGUGAAUGUCAGCUUAUGAUGAAGUCUACACAUGCUGAUCAACUGACCCCAGUGACGGUGCCCCUUCUCCACUCCUUCUAAAUUCUUCUCUUUAUUCUUUUAUAAUCUCCUCAGUUUUCCUCCACAUUUAAUAAACUAUCCUUGUUUUCUUCUCAGA